AUUGAACGCUGGCGGCAGGCUUAACACAUGCAAGUCGAGCGGAGUGAUGGUGCUUGCACUAUCACUUAGCGGCGGACGGGUGAGUAAUGCUUAGGAAUCUGCCUAUUAGUGGGGGACAACAUCUCGAAAGGGAUGCUAAUACCGCAUACGUCCUACGGGAGAAAGCAGGGGAUCACUUGUUACCUUGCGCUAAUAGAUGAGCCGAAGUCGGAUUAGCUCGUUGGUGGGGUAAAGGCCUACCAAGGCUACGAUCUGGAGCGGGUCUGGGAGGAUGAUCCGCCACACUGGGACUGAGCCACGGACAAGACUCCUACGGGAGGCAGCAGUGGGGAAUAUUGGACAAUGGGGGCAACCCUGAUCCAGCGAUGCCGCGUGAGUGAAGAAGGCCUUCGGGUCGUAAAGCUCUUUAGGUUGGGAAGAAGGGUGAUGGAGGAAAUGCUAUCACUUUGACGGUACCGACAGAAUAAGCACCGGCAAACUCUGUGCCAGCAGCCGCCGUAACAC
rnacentral:rRNA from 1 species